UGCCAGCCGCCGCGGUAAUACGAGGGGUCCUAGCGUUGUUCGGAAUUAUUGGGCGUAAAGCGGGUGCAGGUGGUUAGGUAAGUCAGAAGUGAAAGCCCCGGGCUCAACCCGGGAAGUGCUUUUGAUACUGCUUAACUUGAGUGUGGGAGAGGAUAGUAGAAUUCCUGGUGUAGUGGUGAAAUACGUAGAUAUCAGGAGGAACAUCGGUGGGGAAGCCGGCUAUCUGGCCCAACACUGACACUCAGACCCGAAAGCGUGGGGAUCAAACAGGAUUAGAUA
rnacentral:rRNA from 1 species